CAUCACUAGCCCGUGACAUCACAAUGCUUCUUCCUGUAAUAUUCUAUCUACAGCCGCUGUUGUUUCCAGUUUCCAUGCAGGAAGACAGGUAGGAGGAGAUCAUCUGGCAAAGAGAUUUGCAGAGUGUCGGGUGACCGGCAAAGAGAUCUGCAAAGUGUCAGUUGAAGAUGACGGGAGGGGUCGCAGAGGUAGCAACGACUGGAGUAUAACAUGCAGGAGAUCAUCAUUUGGCAAAGUUCUGGCAAAGAGAUUUGCAGAGUGUCGGGUGACCGGCAAAGAGAUCUGCAAAGUGUCAGUUGAAGACGACGUGAGGGGUCGCAGAGGUAUUAGUGACUGGAGAAUAGCAUGCAGGAGCUGCCCUGGGAGGAGAGCUGCGGACAUAUGCUCCAAAUGUUGGGACAUAUGCAUUACCUAUUAGGAGAUGCGGUAAAGAUGCCGGCUGUCGGGUUUACGGCAGUCAGAAUACUGACACUAGGAUCCCGACACUCUUCAGAAUCCCGACGUUGGAACUCCGAAUGGGCAAGGAUACCGACACCCGUAUUCUUACGAUCAUAGGUUUAGGGCUGGGCAAGGGGGGUUAGGUUUAGGCAUCAGC